rnacentral:rRNA from 1 species
AGGUUUCCGUAGGUGAACCUGCGGAAGGAUCAUUACCGAGUGCGGGUCCUUUGGGCCCAACCUCCCAUCCGUGUCUAUUGUACCCUGUUGCUUCGGCGGGCCCGCCGCUUGUCGGCCGCCGGGGGGGCGCCUCUGCCCCCCGGGCCCGUGCCCGCCGGAGACCCCAACACGAACACUGUCUGAAAGCGUGCAGUCUGAGUUGAUUGAAUGCAAUCAGUUAAAACUUUCAACAAUGGAUCUCUUGGUUCCGGCAUCGAUGAAGAACGCAGCGAAAUGCGAUAACUAAUGUGAAUUGCAGAAUUCAGUGAAUCAUCGAGUCUUUGAACGCACAUUGCGCCCCCUGGUAUUCCGGGGGGCAUGCCUGUCCGAGCGUCAUUGCUGCCCUCAAGCCCGGCUUGUGUGUUGGGUCGCCGUCCCCCUCUCCGGGGGGACGGGCCCGAAAGGCAGCGGCGGCACCGCGUCCGAUCCUCGAGCGUAUGGGGCUUUGUCACAUGCUCUGUAGGAUUGGCCGGCGCCUGCCGACGUUUUCCAACCAUUCUUUCCAGGUUGACCUCGGAUCAGGUAGGGAUACCCG